AAAACUGAUAGGUUCGGUUUUGCCGUUUGGUGAUGGGAAAUCGGUGUGAUGCCGAUGCUGCCCCCGCAACUGUAACGGGUUGGGUGAUCUAGGUGAAUUGACCUUGCCAGCCACCGGAAAUGUCGACAGCAGACAAACCGGGAAGGCGGAUUGCUUUCAUGCCCGAAGCCAGGAAACCAGCCACCGGCAUCCUAUUCGC
rnacentral:ncRNA from 1 species